ACCUCUUAUGCCUGGUGGCACACACAGAUCCCAUAGCCUGGCAAAGCCCAUGGAGUUUCAAGUCAGCUGCAGAUCCUUUGGGAUGACUUGGUAAGAGUCAAUGUCCUAGUGUGUUUGCAUAGGAAAUGCCAGGCUCAUGCCUAAUGGCAUUGGCAGAUGACAUUACUGUGCCCCAACCCAGUCCUAGACGAGGACAGCCCUUGGCCUUUGCUUCAAUGUCCUAUUGCUUCAUGACAUCACAGGAGUAUCUGCAGCUCAUAUGUAAUUUAUGUUAAAUUGUGACACCUCUGAGCUCUGGAGGGCCUUAGGUGUAGAUGAUUUCUUCACACUCCAUAUACUAUCAUUCACUUAUUGAGAAGA